rnacentral:rRNA from 1 species
GUGAGGAAUAUUGGACAAUGGAUGGAAAUCUGAUCCAGCCAUGCCGCGUGCAGGAAGACGGCCCUAUGGGUUGUAAACUGCUUUUGUAUGGGAGCAAUAAGGGUUACGAGUAGCCUGAUGAGAGUACCAUACGAAUAAGGACCGGCUAACUCCGUGCCAGCAGCCGCGGUAAUACGGAGGGUCCGAGCGUUAUCCGGAUUUAUUGGGUUUAAAGGGUGCGUAGGCGGUUUUAUAAGUCAGCGGUGAAAUUUUCCGGCUCAACCGGGGGACUGCCGUUGAUACUGUAAGGCUAGGAUAUGGUUGCUGUGGGUGGAAUGUGUGGUGUAGCGGUGAAAUGCUUAGAGAUCACACAGAAUAUCGAUUGCGAAGGCAGCUCACAAAGCCAUCAUUGACGCUGAGGCACGAAAGUGUGGGGAUCAAACAGGAUUAGAUACCCCAGUAGUCC